rnacentral:rRNA from 1 species
UACGGAGGGGGCUAGCGUUGUCCGAAGUUACUGGGCGUAAAGCGCGCGUAGGCGGGUUGGUAAGUCCGCUGUGAAAGCCCGGAGCUCAACUCCGGAGGGUCGGUGGAUACUGUCGGGCUAGAGUGCGGAAGAGGCGAGUGGAAUUCCUGGUGUAGCGGUGAAAUGCGCAGAUAUCAGGAGGAACACCUAUUGCGAAGGCAGCUCGCUGGGACGUAACUGACGCUGAGACGCGAAAGCGUGGGGAGCAAACAGG